UCCAGACUCCUACGGGAGGCAGCAGUGGGGAAUAUUGGGCAAUGGGCGCAAGCCUGACCCAGCAACGCCGCGUGAAGGAAGAAGGCUUUCGGGUUGUAAACUUCUUUUGUCAGGGACGAAGCAAGUGACGGUACCUGACGAAUAAGCCACGGCUAGCUACGUGCCAGCAGCCGCGGUAAUACGUAGGUGGCAAGCGUUAUCCGGAUUUAUUGGGUUUAAAGGGUGCGUAGGCGGUCCGGAAAGUCAGCGGUAAAAGCCGGGGGCUCACCCCCGGCGAGCCGUUGAAACUGUCGGACUAGAGACGGCGAGAAGUACGCGGAAUGCGCGGUGUAGCGGUGAAAUGCAUAGAUAUCGCGCAGAACUCCGAUUGCGAAGGCAGCGUACCGGCGCCGGACUGACGCUGAGGCACGAAAGCGUGGGUAUCGAACAGGAUUAGAUACCCUGGUA
rnacentral:rRNA from 1 species